rnacentral:lncRNA from 1 species
UACAUCUUAGUCUUGUACCUGGCUUUUCUUCAAAGCUCCAUGAAAAGACAAAAUGCUUCGGUAUUCCUGGUCAGGCUUUAGCAAAGUCUGUCUGGAAGGGAUGAUCCUGAGAUACUCAUUUUGGUCGAGGAUGCUGCUGCUUCUAAGACUGCCUACUACUAGAGAAGCUAACAUUAAAUAGAAGCAUUCUUAAAUAUUUUCUUAGCAUAAAAGGUUGUUCUGACCAAAACAGUCUAUGUAGCAGUGGUAUCUGUGCUUGUGUCUUUAUGUAAGAAUAAAUACAAGCAGAGACGUGUAUGAUUUUUUUUGUUUUUCUUGAUUUAAUUUAAUUCUUCCUCGAAGGGCGUAAGAACAAUAUGUAGCUUAUUAAAUGGUAACAAUAGCAACUCUCGAUACCAAUGCAGAAAGAACAGCUUUACUGUGUGGAGAGCCCUUGUACGAGGGCUGAAGUGGGCAUAAAGCUGAUAACUUGCCUUUUUAACUGGAUGCCUUUUCUUCUACAUCUCUGCAUCAGUACAGCUGAGCACUGGGUGACUGUAGUAACUGAGGAAAAGAACCAAGGGCCCUUGGGGCAGCAAGCUGAAUGUGAGUCAGCCAUGCAUCAUAGCAGCAGUGAAGGCUAACCGUAUACUGACAGAAUUAGCAAGAACGUAGCCAGUGGGCUGGGGGAAGGGAUAAUUUCCCUGAAUUCAGGGCUUGCAAGACCACAUUUAAAUACUGUACCCAGUUCAGAGCAGCCCAAGAUGAGAAAGGUAUCAUUAAGCUGGAGAGAGUCCAGUGGGUGGGUCCUUAAGGAAAUCUGGGAACUGGAGAAAUGCUGAGGAGAGGCUGGGGUACAGAAUUUAUUUAGCAUACGUAAGCUGGAGGGGCAUAUAUCUUCAGUCUCUUACCAUCUUAAGUGGAUCUUACAGAACGCGAAUCCAGAUACUUGCCCUUCUGCUGUGCACCUCUGAAAAGCAUCUGUUGCAGCAAGGGAAAUUCUACCUGUACGCAGCCUGUGGACCGUGAAAGCAGUUUUGUUGGAGCAGAUUGCUUAGAGGGUUUAUGGAAUCUCCAUCUUCGUAGACAUUUAACACUUGGCAAGGUUCAAAGCGAGAUAUAAUCCAGCUUUGAAGUUAGCCUUGCUUUGAGCUGGGUUGAACUAGGUGACCUUCAGAGAUUCCUUCUGAUCUAAGUUCUUCCUUGAGUCUGUUCCCUGAGAUCAGUAGCUCCUCCACAAAUAAAUGAUGUGGAUCAGGACAGUCCUUACUAGCUCACGUUUCACUGUUGUAGCCUUUAUGGAGAGAUCAGCAAGCUAGCUUUAUAAGCAGUGACAGUGAAUGGCAGACUUUUGAAGGGAGCGUACAAUAAAUAGAUUAUUGUUUGGCAGCAGUUGGUGGUUAUCUGGCAGAGUUAUUUAGUGAUUCUGCUUUCGUAGUUAAAGCAGUAAACCAGUUUUCAUGAAUGAGAAAUUGCAAAAAAUUACGAGCAAUUGAGAGUGGUAUUUGGAGCAUUAGUAGAUUGGAUUGGCAAAAUAUCUUAAGUUUGUCAGAGGGUUCUGUUGCAAGAGGCAGUUCAGAAGUAAUCUGCUUUGACCUCUUUUCAGAAGCAAGGUUAAAGAAGUGAGUAAUACUCUGGGAAUGAACAGUACAAUGUAUUUUCUUCUCUUCACCUUGCCAGUAUGUAGCUCUUGGCAGUGCUGGUUUUUUUCUGUCACAUGUUACUUAACAUAAGCAACAAAUCCAGCUCUAAUAGCAAGCCAGAUUGUAUCAGUAGAUUACCAGUGCUCUCCUUACAAUCCUUGAAAGCUCUGGCCUAAUCGCUUAUCUGAUCUACUUUCUGUCUUUUUUGAAUUGGUCUGAAUAAGCAGUCAGUGUCAGUGAAGUUGCAGGGAAAAGCCAUAUUCCUUUUCCUCCUCUUUUGGCACUGUUUUUAGUGCUUGUAGGUAUAAAGAAAACAGAAGCUAUUUAUUACAGACAGUGAUAUCUCCUGUGAAGUUUUGUGUCCUUCCAUGCACUUUACCUCCAUAUCCGUUUCUGUAACAACCUGUUCAAAGGCUUCUAUCAUUGAUCUUCUCAUUGAUCUACUUAAUCUUCUCCCACCCGAUGUCUCCUUUCUUUCCCAGAAGUUCAGCAGAGUUCUGGAUGCAGAAAAAUCAAAACUGUCAAACUAAGGAUGUUUCUGCUCACGUGUUUUCUUUUUGAUAACACUCCCCCACCUCUUGCCUUUAAAACUGCAAUUCAGUGUCUUAAUCUUGAUUAUCCUUUUGUCUGAGAAGGAGCAUGUUUUAAAGUGUAAAGGGCUUUCAUAAGUUUUUCUGUUGUGUAAAAACCUACGCAACCACUUAAUUGUAUUUGGAACUGUCCUAAUCUCUUCUCAGACUGACAUCUUGCGUUUUAAUGCUGAUAGUUAAUCAGUUUGUGGUGCUUUAUUUUAUUAUUUUGGUUUGUGGCUUGUUGUUUUGGUUUUGUUUCUCUUUUAAACAUAGCAUUGCAAGUAGAAACCUCUUCUCCAUGCAUAGUCCAAGUAUGGCUGGAUGUUGGAGGCUAUUUGACAUCUGAAUUAUUAGCUUACACCUGUUCUAGAAAUGAACAAUGCUGUUGAAAGGUAUCCUUAGAUUAAGAUAAGGUUGUAGACAGAUGAACUGGUCUGAAGGUACUGAAGAUCAUUGCUUCUAAUUACUUGCCUUUUUUUUGUUUUCCUCCCCACUGUUUGUGUUCUCCUGUGUCCCCCUCUCUCUCUGUCUGAUCUGCCAGCACAACUGUUCUACGUUGUUGCCCUCAGUCUCCUGUCAAAAUCAUUUGGGUUGUGUUACCUUGACAGGAACAAGUUAGACAGUGACUACAGCUGCAGCUUUCCAGGCAGGUUUGAGAGGUGCUGUAGCCUGGAUUGGGGUAAUGGGAGAGACUGAUAUGAGCCACUGGGUCCUCUAGCAUCUUACGCCUAGCUUAGCAACAGUAUGGAGCCUGUCUGACUGUAGACUCUGUGUCCACCUUGGAGAAGCUGCUAGAGGCUAGGCAUUGCGUUUCCCAUUCACACUCAGCAUGUCUUUCCUGUGCGGAUGAGCCACUGGACAUUCAAAGUGCCUCUCUGUUGUUUUGAAAACAUUAGUUAUAUGUUCUGUCUAGAAAGUAGGCUUUUUAAGUCAACAAAUUAUUUUCAGAAUGGAGUAAGUAUUAGGUUUAAUUAGGAUUUACUUAGUCAUUUAUUCUGCAGAGACUGAAAUGUCUGCAGCAACCUCUUAUCUCUUGUGGUAUCUGUACCGGUGUUCUUUCAUGUUGGAGCAGGUCUUCACAUUGGAGGCAGACAGAUUUAGUAGCUUUUUAUCUGCACUAGACUAUAUCUUUUAAGUCUCUUUGGCCCUCUGCCGAGUCUUAGACUAAGAUCUAGACCUACCCAGGGAUUUGAGCUCUUAAGUUUGUUCAAACUUCAGUAUCAGUUGCGAGCAUAAAUGAUUCUCAUGACAUUCAGUGUGUGUUCUCUUAGUUCCAGAAGAACUCUCCAAGCAACAGUGUUAUAAAUGUGCUUGGCUUGAUCGAUCUUUACUUAUUUGCCAGUCUUUGGCAUAUGCUUAUUUUGAAGGAAGUAAGGUAAUAUGCCAAUACACAGCAUAUGCGUUACACCUGUGAGUAGUCCAGUCCUCGGUCUGUUGAUUUUACAGAUAAUCCUCUUACAAGGGAGAGGAAAGUGGUUGAAGUACUUCAACUGUAGAUCUUCUGUUGUUCAACAAGAGACAGGGCAUUUCUGUUGGGGCAGAGGGAGAUGGCUUAUGGAUAAAAGGUCUGAUGUUUUAAACUACGGUUUUGUUUUUCUCUGUUAGCUCCCGAAGCCUGCUUUAAUUUGGAGGCUUUUGGCCCUGAGGUCAUCUUUGCUGUUGCCUAGAGAUGUACAACACUGCUUCUUCGCUUCUUGCACGUUACUGAAGGAAGGUUUACUGCUCACCUCGAAGGAAUGUUUAGUUGGCAUGUCCAUAGGGUAUCUGUUCUAUUGCUUGAGCUGUUGAGCUGGCAUUGCAGGAGUAUAUAGCUUCAAAUUAGCAUAAGGAGUUCUUGCCUCUUUUGGACAUAAGAACUACUGAGUCUGUAGUUUAAAAGUGUUUUAUUAAAACGUUGUUCUCAGUACAUUUCUUUCAAGUGGAGGGGGACUGAGUCUUCCCUCCCUGUAGCUCCCCUAAUUUCUUUCUAUACCAAAAUAGUUGGGAGGAUUAAUUAAAAUACUGACGUUUCUUUUACUUUGUCCAAUCAAGCUCAGCUUGUGAAAAGCUCAGAUAGACGGAAUAGCUUUAUGCUGACUUGGUGGUUUGGCAGUUGCUUUGCUUAUCGUUUGCCAUUGUGUGAAAGAUCUGGUAAAAUUCUAGAUUUCCUAUUUGUUAAUUUAUUUCCUUUUGAACUGUUAUCGUCUCAUGUUGCAGCUGCAAUUGUUGCUGCCAACUGUAAUACCGCUUCAGCCUUAAAUAUGACUAAUGUCUGUGCUUAAUACUGUGAAGAUAUAUAAUCUGUCCUUUUUUUUCCAGUAAAAUUGGAAGUCAGGAGUGUUUCAGUAUGCUGCUUUUACCACUAGCUGUAUGAAAAUGUAGUUUACCCUCUGAGAGAGUUUCCUUUCCUGGAAAAAUCCUUGGAACGAGCAGCACAGGGACAAGUGAAAAAGUCUGUGCACUAUUAAAACCUACUGUCUCGGGCUUGAGAGUAAAAAAUAGAUGUACUUGCUGUGCAAAGUCCCUCUCAAGGUUUUUGACAGUGGUGACGUUUGGGAAUCCAGUGUGGUGAGGAUCUCAGCACCAUCCAGACAAAUAAAAGGAAAUCUGCCAGUUUCCAUUGCAGUUUGUUUAUUUAACAACUAUGUGCCUGUGAGGAAAGUAAUGGAUUUAUGAGUUCAUGUUUUCCAGCAAACUCCUGUCUUGGGGACUGGGGGUAAGAUUGAUCUUCUCUCUUGCCAGAAGAGUCUUUGACCUACAAACAUGAUUGUCAAUUGCCUACUGCAAUUUUUGGUGAACUAUUUAUAGUUCUCUGUUACAUGUAAUCUGUAUUCACUCAUGCAGAUAUUACUUAUUACAAAAGUGUAGAAUUAAAACAAGUAAAAACCAAGUAAAUAUCUUUUUCUUUUUAAGGUAUUGUUUGUUUCUGACUAAUUCUGUUCUUUUAUGAGGGGAAAAAGCUACAAAAAUCUUACGAACUUCAUGAAGAGCUUGUCUAAAGACCAAAUGCAGAUACACAAACUAGUAUUUCAAGCUGGUUUAUUCCUAAUAAUUAUGAUCUCUUGAAUUGAUGUGGUUAUAGAGUAAUGGGGAUGAUUAUUCAAAAAAGGAUUUAGAUAUAGCUGUAGGGAUACUUUAUAAAAAUAAAGGUACGUAAAACACUUUAUAUACCACCGAGAUAGUUUAAAGCAAUAAAGAAAAUUACACUUCUGGUAGAAAACGUGUACGUAUGUACCAACCAGUAGUCUGCUUGUGGUAGACCAGAUGAAGUCACUGAACAUAGCAGCUCCAAGGAGAAACCACUGGAAAACUUCUUUGCGCUGUCAUGAUGAUAGUGAGUGAAUAAAUAUCCUUACCAUAAACGUUCCUGUGGUAUGAAAGAGGCUUUGAAUGUUUCUCAAGAUGGGGAAUAAAAAUGAUGCCGUGGAGAGUAAUUCAAAGACCUAAUUUCUUUUAAAUCAGGAAUCCAGCUUUAUUCAUCUCAAUGUCAAAUACUGUGGAAAGAGUUUUAAUGUUUUAAACUUUUUUUGUCACAGUUCAAGAAAGAUAAAUAGUUCGAGAUACUAACUGACUGAUUAUAAGCAGGAAAGCUGAAGUAGUACUGUGUCUGUAAUAGGGACUUCAAGUGACUUCAAGUAUGGACUGCUGCCGGGGACAUCAAGUGACUUCAAGUAUGGACUGCUGCCGGGUACUUCAAGUGACUUCAAGUAUGGACUGCUGCCGGGUACUUCAAGUGACUUCAAGUAUGGAUUGCUGCCAGAAUCUUGGCCAAAAGAUGCUUGGGAAAAUGGCGAUUCCUCUGCUUUAAUCAUGAACAAGCUGAAGUGUCCACACUGUAAUUAUGUAGCCAAAUACAGAAGAACACUAAAGAGACACUUGCUCAUUCACACAGGCGUGAGGUCUUUCAGUUGUGACAUCUGUGGGAAGCUGUUUACUCGAAGAGAGCACGUCAAGAGACAUUCCUUGGUAGGUAGCAUCAAUGUGUGUGUGCAAUGCGUGUGUACAAGUGGAGUCUUCACCUACAUUUGUUGUAGUGUAAAUAAAUUGGAUGAAGAUAUAUACCUAUUUAACAACUGACUCUCAUUAUUUCUGGGAAAAUGCAGUAUCAAAAAACGCUGAGGGAAAAUGUCAAGGUAAUUUCAUAUUGUUGAGAAGAUGAUGGUAUUUCUCCAAGCUGUCAUCUUAAAAGUAAAAAGUAAAAUAUAAAAACAAUUCUUAUUUUACAACAUGUUUUAAACCUGCUUCCUUGUGAAGGUGUUCCUCUAGGUCUCCCUAGCCUCCUUGCAAUUGGCUUCGUGUUCCCACAUGAGUAGAGAAUGCUGCUUGCUUCUGGGUUUUAAUCUGAAUGAAGUAAAGAGCUGCAAGUCUUCCCAGCUUUCCUUCCUAACCUGUUAUCAUAAAAUACACUUUACGUCAGCCAGUAAUAUUUUUUAAAGUCAUUUAAGAAUCCUUUUUUAAAACGAUGACUUGAGUCAUAUAAGAAUGUAAUUCUAGAAGGUAUUGAAGAACAGGAGGGGGUAUGACUUUACAUGAGUGGAUAGUGAUAGGACAAGGGGGAAUGGUUUUAAACUGAGACAGGGGAGGUUUAAGUUAGAUAUUAGGAGGAAGUUUUUCACACAGAGGGUGGUGACGCACUGGAACAGGUUGUCCAAGGAGGCUGUGGAUGCCCCAUCCCUGGAGGCAUUCAAGGCCAGGCUGGACGUGGCUCUGGGCAGCCUGGUCUGGUGGUUGGCGACCCUGCACGUAGCAGGGGGGUUGAAACCAGAUGAUGAUUGUGGUCCUUUUCAACCCAGGCCAUUCUAUGAUUUUGUGAACAUAGUAGUUUUCAGAUUUCCUUGAAUUGUUCUACAUGUAGGCAGGUUAAUGUUAAUAGUUAGGAAGUCAAUCUUAGAACAAGUGUUCCUUACCUUCCACUUGAAUUCUCUCACCUUAAAUAUCUUUCCACCAAGAAACUGCUCCAUCUCAUCCUGGUCUGCUGUUGUUAUUUGGUGAAGAUACAAGUUCAUGAAGGGAGGACAUCAGUGGCUGUGUUGCUACCAAAUCUCUAGAACCGUGUCCUGUAGCAUGUGUAGGUGACGGAGGUGAUAACAGCAUGGAGCAGUUCUGUGACUCAGUAGAGGAAAUGAUGUCAUUAUUGCUUUGGUGGUAGCAGCAAUACCCUGUAGGUCUUGUAACAGGACCAGUAGAGUGGUACUUCAGGUUUCUGUCGUGCCGUAUCUGACGAGGUCUUGGAGAUAAAGAUGUUUACUCCAGGAAAGGAGAUGAAGUCAAACAAGGUGAAAAUCGUUGUAGAGUCAGUUCAGUCCUGUCUUAAUCCAUUGUGCACUGCAGGUUACAGAAUGCCAAUUCCUCCCCCACACCACACAGGGAACAUCUAAAGCAUUUUGCUUUGUGUGAAACAGUUUGGUAGGAAGUCUAGGUGCUGGAGAAAAAUGCAUCCUUUAUCUGCUGUAGAGAUUAAGAAGGACUAAAGUACUUAUUUGUAUCUUGGCCUAAUUUUGUUUUCAUCUUCUCUUAGUUACAUAGUCUCAAAUUCAUUCUUCCCUGUUCUUAAAAGCACAUCUGCAACUACUUUGUGACACUUGCUUAAUUGGCUACCUAUUAAGGUUUAUUUUCCUCAAGUUAUUUCACAGUAGUUCAGCUUUGCAUGCAGGCUCACGCUAAGGAAGAAGGUGAAAAUGGAGUGAAAAGAUAUUGAGCUUCGUUUUGUUUGACUGGCUCGUGGGAGUGGGGAGGUGGAAGAGGAAUCUUGCUCUUUCCUUUCCCACAGAAUUAAACUCUUGUUUGGUUGUAGAGCUUAAUAUUGUAAAGGUGAUUUUCUAAAUGGGCAGCGUGUCUAUUAUGGUACUGUGUGCAGCAUAAACUUAUGUUCUCUGUGCCAUUCAGUGGCUUUGUCUGAACAGUGAGUUUCCAACAGCUGUGUAUUGAACAGGCAGCUGUUUAGCUAUCCGCUGAGCAGCAAGGUGGUGGUUGGUUGUGAGAAUAGUUCAAGUGGAAAUGGAUCUCUAGUAGUACUCUUUCUCUGAACAGUAUUGAGAUAAUACAAAGUGGGUUUUUUCUAGUACAGUGUGCUUAUUUUCAGCUGUUAAUUUUUUUUCUCCAUAGGUGCACAAAAAGGAUAAAAAGUAUAAAUGUAUGGUAUGCAAGAAGAUCUUCAUGCUAGCAGCCAGUGUUGGAAUACGACACGGAUCUCGACGCUAUGGAGUUUGUGUAGACUGUGCAGAUAAGUCUCAGCCUGGAGGGCAAGAGGGAGCAGACCAGGUGCAGGACACAGAUUUCCCUAGGGAUGAAGAAUAUGAAGAAAAUGAAGUGGGAGAAGGUAACUAAAUUAUGCUAGUUGUGUGGAUAACCUUGAACUAUGCUUUGAUGGACAGAAUCUUAAUGGUGCUCCAUCUGAUCCAAGUUGGUAUGUAUUGAAAGAGACGAGCUUUACUGUUGUCCUUUCCAUCAGUAGAACAGUAACAUGAUGUUAAGACAUUGUUUUUGCUGAUUGAAGCUGAGAUGAGUUUGAACUACAGUUAUAUGGGAAUUAAAAUACCUUUUUUUAUCAUCAGUUUGUUUCAUUGGUAGUUCCCACAUUAUUGUAAGCCUGACAGAUGAUUAGUUUUCUCGGGGUGGGGAGGGUGGGUGCCUUUUCAUUUCUUUUCUCUUUCUUUUUUACACUGAAGAAUACAUCCUUAUUGUUCUAUACUGAAACAAGUAAUGUGUAAUUCUGGUGGGGUCCAAAGUAGAAAUUAGUUGGGCAAAGAUGAUAUGAAUGAAAAAGUAUUUUAAACGUUAAAGUAAUGUUCUGCUUUGUGAAUAUGUAAGUAUAGCAUAAAGAUUUUUCCAUCCCAUUUAUCCCCUUUAAAACCAUAGUUUACAAUUGGUAGAUCUGUCUAUAUAUAUAAAUAUAUAUAUAUAUAUAUAUCUGAAAUUCACCUAAAUCUGCUUUAUUAGAAUACUGCUCACUUAAUGCUUAGAAACUGGACCUGGCUCUACAUUCUCAAUGUAUCUUCCUUUUUCUGUUGGUUUUUUUUUUGUUUGUUUGUUUAUUUUUUUUCCUUGAGGUAUGAACUUAUUCUCUUGGAACUGAAUCUUCUUUUACUACUUAAAUCAUUUAUGUAUAUCUGGUAAAUUAUGACCAAAUUUGUUGUUAGACUGCAUACAGUAAAUUGAAAUAUACACUUGGUACACUACAGAAUUGUUGUGCUUUAUUCUGGUUAUAUUUGGAAAAGGAGGAUUUAAUAGAAAUAGUGUUAUUUAUAAAUAUUUGGUUAUUACUCACUGGCCUUAAUGUUCUGUUGCGUUGUGACAAUCAUUGUUUCCUUGGUAGCGAUGAACUGUCCUUCGAUGUUGCGUGUAAUUGCUCUUGGUAGGGCUGGAGGGAGAGUGAUGACCACUGCAGUGUGAUGCUGACUCUUCAGUAGGUGGUGUGAGACAUUUAAUGACGAUCUGAUCUUCUCAUGCUGGAGAACCAAACUGAUUUGUUUGACUGUGAUCUGCAGCACUCUGCUGCUAUCAGAUGUUACUUUAAAUAUAUUGCUUUGAUUGGAUAAACGAGUUUCCUAACAAUUACCCUAAAGAGACUACUCACAUUUCUUUACCAGUGUGAAAGGUAGGAACAAAUUUGCGCUGGAAACCAUCUUCCUCUUAAAUGCUGGCACUCUGCUGUAAUAAACAUCAUAGAGAAUUAAAAAGAAGUACCGCCCUUAGACUGUCUCCCUUAUCCUUCUAGAUGUUCUAAUUUGAUGUCCAGUAAUGUAUUUUGUUUUCUGAUAAAAUACAGAAUCACAGAAUCGGAGGGCUUGAAAGGGACCUCUGGAGAUGGAGUCCAACGCCCCUGCUGAAACAGGAUCCCUACAGCAGGUCACACAGGAAAGCAUCCUAGCAGGUCUUGAAUAUCUCCAGAGGAGACUCCACAGCCUCUGUGGGCAUCCUGCUCCAGUCCUCCGUCACCCUCACAGUAAAGAAGACUUUCCUCAGAUUCACGUGGAGCUUUCUGUGUUCUGGUUUGUGCCCACUGCCCCUUGUCAUGGCGCUGGGUACCACCGAAAAGCCCGGCCCCGUCCUCUUGACACCUGAUACCUUCCAAACUAAGUGAGAGUUGCUUAUAUGGAGCAAUGCUGUGCAAGAAGAGUUUUCAGAAAAGGGCUGUGCGCAUUUGAGAUGGACAAAUGAGUUCUCCCCUCUCUGUGGCUGUCUGCUGGGCAGAAAUGGUGCAGAGAGUGGGUUUCCUUGGUUUGGUCACCUGAAGCAGUGGUGAUGGCCUUCUAGAAAGAAAUACACAGAGCACUUCCUUGCAGGAAAUUAUGGUGCCAGACAAAAUGGAAUCACUAAAUUCACUUUGAUUAAAGUCUCUGUCAAAGGAGGUGUAAUGUCAGGGAGACAGACAACUUAGUGAUGCGUUUUGUGCCUAUGUGGAAUUAGUUAUGACACGUAUUUUUCAGUUGUAAUUUCAGCUGCAGCUUUCAGGCAAAAUGGAUUUUUUUUUUUCAGUGGCAUAGAAACCAUAUAUAUUUAAAUUAACAAAUAGGUCAUGCGGUCAAGUAACUUUCUGAAGUGAAACUAGUUUUAAAGCCAAAGAUGAUGCCUGAUAGUCAGCACAGUAAUGCAUCUGAAGAAGUAAGGGUUAAAAUAGAGAUGGUGUUACUUUGCAGGCUCAUAUAUUUCUGCAGAUGCGCAGUUGUGAGUUAUUUAUUACUUACCCCCCUUCCUUCUCUGCAGAAUGAGUAUUAUCAAAUGAAGUUUGAGGUUGUGGCAUCUGAUAGGUUUCUACUUGUUCACUGCAGUCAUUCUACUGAGCAGAAGAUGCUUUCUUUGCCUAGUUGGAGGUUGCUAAGACUUGUAAUAGAUUCCUUUAAGGUUGUGGCUGCCUGGUCAUACAAGUACCCCAUCUAUAACGUUUUUGCUGACUCUAUGCAGAUGCAGAGGUGUCUUCAUAAGACUGCCUUUUAUUGGCUUAUCCUUUCUAUUUUGUUGUUGUUAAAUCUGCUUGGCAACUAAUAUGGGAAAUGAAAACAAGAUACUCAACACCCCCACACCUCCUGCCAAAAGGAGGUGAAAAGGGAGAAAAACGUUGGAAACAGUGUGAUAAGAAAACAGUUGGGUUUUCAGUUAUUACAGUCCGGCGUAUUACUCAAACGUUUCAAACAUUUCACUGUGUUUCUCCGUAGCAUGAUUUGGUGACAGCCUUUUGAUGAAGACGCUAUGCAAGAAUCCCAGUUUUGGUUUUGUUGGUUGUUUCCAGACUAAUAGCACUGAGAAGUUCUUCUGGAGGUAUUUUACCGUACACUGCAGUCGUAGCAUCCAUCUGCACUGCGGAUGUCAUCUGUUAUCCCUUCUCUUAUUCUAUAGGUGUGUAUUCCUUAGAACUGAGAUUGGCCUUUUGUAUGUUUUCAGUGGAACGCUCUGUGAUAUUAACACUGUGGUAAAGGUUCGGUGCUAAAAAAGAAGUUGGUUUUAGUACAGAUUUUUUGUGAGUUUAUAAUGAAAUAUACCUUUUUUUGAAUAAGGAAAAUACAUGUUUGAAAUCCAGAGGCAGGAGAGGUGGUGAGCUGGACGCUUGGAGUUGCUGGAGAUUGUGUGUAAAUAUAUAAUACACUGGUUUUUAAAAGCAUUUUUAUGUUAAAAAAAGGUUAAAAAAAAAAAAAGCAUUAGGAGGCUCCUAUGACUUCAGCCAAUUUCAUUUUCCAAUUUCAUAAGCACUUUGUAUUUCACAUUACUGCAACUUGAACAGACGUUGAAAUUAAGAUAUACGUAACGGUUUGCUUGCCUGAAUUGGUUUGGAUUGGCCACUCUGGAACACGGACAUAAAUCAUUUCUCACACAUUGGUACGUAAACAGUUCCAGGAAUUCUCAUAAUUUGUGCCUCAAUCUCUAACUUACCGUACUGCAAAUAAAUUUGAAACGUAACUAUUUGAUUCAUCUGUUUCUCUGUGCUCUGCCUCCUCACCCUCCGCAAGUAGAUGCAGAGAGACUUCUUGGGAUGGAUAAGUGAUUAUGUACAAUUCUUUCCUGUGUAUAAUUUCUAGCGCAGAGUUGAUUUAUAGUUUAAGCUUCCCUCCUAAUGAGGCAGAUCUUGUUAAGAUAACAGAUAUCUCCAACCAUCCUAAAAACGAUGUGUACCUAAAAUUGGAUUUCAUGCAAACUUCAGCUCAAUUUUGAGCUGUCUUAAGGGAUAGGUGCUGAAAAGAUUGGAUCCCUUCAGAAAUGGUCGUGCUGUGUGCCUAAACCCCUUGCUGUGGUGUUUUGUUCCUUCUCUCCAGCCACACCAACCUCAGGUGCUUCGAAGAAGCGCUUUCACCUGGGAUUCUCGAAAGCUGCUGGAGUGGUUAAUGCCAGAUGUGUUUGAACCUCAGGCUUCUGUCUAAAUGGCUGUUUCUUUUGUUAGGUUAUGCACAAGUGGGUUCCUUCAGUUGUUCAGAAAGCCAUCAGCCCUUGGUCAGUACUUCUGAGGGACUGAGAACUUCUACAUUUUGUUUGCCUUGCAGAGAAAAUGCUAAGUUCUGCAUCCUGGAUAGAGAAGUCUGCUGUGUAAUACUAUGUGAUGCUUUCUUGUUUAAUUUAUGUAAACUAUUAUGUUUUGCCUAAGUAUGUUAGGAAAAGAACUUCAGAUUCAACAGCGUUAAUUUUUUAGAUGUAGUUAGAAAGGAGCAUUGAGAAAAAGAAAUAGGUGAAAACUCAGCAAAUUCAAUCAGAAAUGAGUAUCAGGACAGCAGAAGUGGUAGAUGAUGAACUACAGUUUGUAGGAAGAUCAUGGAAACUCAGUGCUGAGUGAAAUGUACUGGACAUGACUCGCAGCCCAGAGAGCUGACUGUGUGCUGGGCUGCAUCAGAGGAGUGGCCAGCAGGGCGAGGGAGGUGAGGCCUCACCUGGGGAACUGUGUCCAGAUGUGGAGUCCUCAGUACAGGAGUGAUGCGGACCUGUUGGAAUACAUUCAGAGGAGGGCCACAAAAAUGAUCCAAGGGAUGGAACAUCUCUCCUAUGAGGGCAGGCUGAGAGAGCUGUGGCUGUUCAUUAUGGAGAAGAGAAGGCUCCAGGGAGACCUGAGAGUGGCUUUUCAGUGUCUAAGGGGAGGCUGUAAGAAAGGAAUGCUGAAGCACAAAUAUUGGAGCUACAUUUGUUUUUUGUAUGUACUAUUUAUGUGACAAAACUUCCUUCAACGAUUACUUCAGACAGCACUGUCUUCAUACGCAUAGAGUAAGAUGGAAAAUGUAUUGUUUUCAUGUUGGGAUGCAAGAAGCAUUUUGUCAUCUCAGUCAUUUGUUAGAACCAGGCAACCUCAUAAGAAACAGUAAUCAUAUCUCACUCCUCAUCUCCUGAAAUGCCUCUGGUGUAAAAGACUUGCUUGUUAUCAGGCAGUGUGUGCUACGUUCUCCCAACAUACUGUGUCCUAUGGUUCCAGUGCAUUCAAACAAACCUUGAGCUCCUUUUUCUGGGUGUAGAUCUGAAACAGUUCAUCAGUAAAGAAGUAUGUCAUGAAAGAAGUCCUACCCGGUAUGUUUUCCUUGUGAUUCUCAUUGCUGAAAUUCAGAAAGUAUUUUUUAAGUGCUGUUUCAAUUGAAAGAUUCUUUUACUUUAAGCAGCUAUUCUUGUAUGGAACUCUCAUUUGGUGGGUGACCUACGUGUGCUUUUUCAUGUUGUCAUACCACAUUUCUGCAAGUUAUUCUCAGCAGCCACUUGAACAAUCGGACUGCUGAGGUCAUAGGAUAUAGCAUUAAUAUGUCUGUGCAGACAGCGGCUGUUAUCUUCUUGCCCAGAAAUCCCAGUAAUUGGAAAAGGAGGUGGAAAGGUUUACCUUUAAUCUGUGAUUAAUUGGAAUUUAGGUAGACAUUUGCUUUAAAAUCUUACAGAGGUGGUGAUAUGUCAAGGUAUUUAUAAACUGCACUGGAAAUACUUCACUAAUUAGGAUAAGUUGGCAGAAGUUACUACUGCUGUGUUUAACUCUGCUUAUUUCAAAUCUACUGCAGUUGUAAUCUCAAGGUCCUUUUUACCUUCAUUCCUCUGACACAAUUUGCAGCUUUAUCAUCUCCUGACACUGCAGAAACAGAAGGAUAUGAAUGCAUAAUGUUCCCAAAACAGCUGGGAAUCCCUUUUUUUGUGUGUGUGUGUUAAAAUGUGUUAUUCUGCCCUGGGUUCUUCCAAGAAUGCUGUUUUGCCCUUUCAGGAAGAUGUGGAAAGAGAUGCGGUGCCCACAGUAUGCAGGGGGAAGAGGUGGUUAGCUGGUAGGAAUCGCAGAGCUUGGUGCUGGAAGUGGGCUUCUCCCCUGGAGUAUUCAUUUUGGAGUCUGCAUGGCAGUAUAAGGAGACCCCCAGGCAGUCUGAGCUGAUACAGUGAUUUUUGGUGGUUGUGCACCACGUAAGUAAAUAGGCCCUUGUUUCAGUGCUGCUUAACCGUAGUCGUUGUUGUUUGUACUGCUUGAAUAAUAUGAGCUACCGAAAUGUUACGGUCUGAUUACAGCAUUUGAUGGGGCUUCCUAGAAGCCCUGUUGUCCAUUUGUGCUAUGGCCAGCCUGGCAGUCCAAAGGAAGUUUUCACCUCUGCACAUCUCUGCAGUUCUGUCAGUGUGUCUGUCUUCCUUUUCGCACUCCUAAGUACUGGGAGAAACACUUCUUAAGAACCGAAGCAUUGGAGUACCUGCGUAAAUACGUGGCAUCUAAUGAGUGUUAUUGGAGGUUCCUUCUCUUUGAUGUAUGCUCAGAAAAGAAUCUAAAACUACGUGUGGUUUUAAGUUGCCACAUCAAAUAGUUUAACUUGAGAGUCUCAUCAUUGUGAUGGAUCGUGACUCAUUUCUCAUCACAGGCUAAAAUCUCAAACAAUCGCUCUCUAAAAAUCGCUCGUACCUCUUCAUCUUGCACCAAAUACUUCUAUUUCUAUUCACAGUUUGGACUUUCUUUGCUCCUAACCAUCUUUUUUUUCUUUUUCUAGUUCUGUGAGCUGGCAAUAAGGCCCAUGUAGAUCCCACAUACUUUCUUUGCUAGAGAUAUGAAUGCUCCAGAAAGGAGUUCUACAGGACAAAUCCCUCAUGGAGUUGGGGAGAGCUGUCUGUAAGGCUUGAAACGAGCUGACAGUUGCAAAAAUGAUUGAUUUAAUUAGCAUGAGCUAAAAAAUAAACAAUAGAAGGGAUUUUGCCAUUCUUUAAAUAAGUAUCUCCUGCUGGGCUCAAGGGUUUUGCUGCUUUUUUUUUCUUCCGUAGUGCUGCCUUGCUUUUUUUUCUGUUACUGAUGGUUAUUUGCUUUUCCCAUAUCUACUGAAAGUUAAAUGGUUACAGUCAAUGUUUGGAGUGGUCAUGGACAAACAACUCUCACUGAAAACUGUCUGCAAAUGUUGUGAAUCCUAUAGAGAGCUGACGUGCUGGAGCUCUUAAUAAAUAACCCGUAAGCAAGCAGUGCCUUUUAGUUUUGGGUUUGAUGUUGGGUUUCUUGAGCAACUCUUCUAAAAUAUUUUAAGGGAAUUGUCUUAAAAUGUAGUUUGAGGUUCUAUGUAACUUGCAUUGGAACUAUAUUGAGCUAACAGUAAACUUCUGAAAGUCAUUUUCAUGUGGGUACGUUGGUGUUGAGCUCUUGGAGCGGUGUGUGCCCAGGAGAUGGCUGGGCCUGAUGGAGCCGGCCAGUCAGCUCUGCAGUGAGCAGGAAGCAGUGAAAAUACAGCAGGAGAGGGAAUCCCAGCCUUCACACAGCAGGGAGGAGCACCCCUGCUUAGAAGAAUUCCUUUCCCGGUAAAACUGCAUGGAAUUGGAUGUGUGCGGCUUUGGAAGGUGCAAGGGCUGAGUCAGCCCUGCUGGAAUUUGAACUUUUGUGCUGGGGUGCUCAGAGAAGUCUGAGCUUUUAUGCCUCUCUCUCCUAACAGUACAGGAGAGCUUUGUUAGCACCUUGUAGCUUUAUCUGCAACCUGUUGUUGCAGUGUGAAGGCUGGAUUUUUGUCUUCAAAUUACCUGAUUUAAAUUCUGAAUUUGAAACAACAAGAAGAAAAACACCACCACACCUGCUUCGGCUUUGAACAUCCAGUUUGAAGGACACCCUGUGUGAAGCCUGUGCUGUACAGAAUUUCUGUAAAAAGAAGGGGAAAAAAUAACCAAACCAUUGCUUUGCAGGUGCUAAAAUAAAGGUUCCUAGGCAUCCGUGUCAGGCGGUUGCAUGCCAAACCGCGUGUCUUUAGGCACCACUCUAAGUAUGAGUAAAACGUGAGACAGUGUGGCUGUAUCUUAAGAAUUACAGCAGGUCUUUGGGGCAGGUGAAGUAGAAAAACUCAAGCCAUCUGAAGCUCAGGCACCGAGGUGCAAAGGACCGUCCAACAGCCCUGCAACAGGGAAGGCUUGGCCAUGGUGCGCCUUCCUAAGCAGCGCUCAUCUUCUGCAGAGCACCGUUUCCUCCUGGCGUUCCCCCUGAGGGACACAUGAGCACAUACCAGCUGCUGUACUUUCUCUCUGGUGAGAGGAUUCCUGUUGCUUACCUUGCACGUCUUUACGUAACAUUGGGAAGAGUAUGGUAGUGUUGAGACUUCAGUUAUUCAUCAAGUCCUGCAUCAUAAGAGAUGGCGUACGCUCAGCCUUCUACAUUUGAUACCAAGCUUUAUCUUUUAACAGAGAUCACAUGAGAUAGCUGAUGUGGAUGGCAGAUUUGCUGACUUUUGUCACACCUGUAUUCCUGUAUUCCUUCUUGUCACUGGUGACUGAUAUUGUAGGUUUAUUGGUGCCUCAUAUCUUCUGCUGUUAUCAGCUAAAGAGCAAGGGUCAGGGAUUACAUUUCUGAUUUAAAUCCUUUUUAUGAUGUUUGCCUGCUAAGCUGCCAGUGUUAAUAAGCUACUUUAAGCUUUAUCAGUUUGCUACUGUUGUUAAAUAGAAGUGAGGUAAAAUUUGAGCUUGUCAUGGUGAUUUAAAAGAAAUAAUGAGAGAACUGGCACGUAUGUUGUGGAAGGGAUGAGUCUCCUUUUAUUCCGAGCUGUAGCUGAAUGGAACUUAGUGUACCUCGGCAGCUAUUUUCAGAAUAACAAAGAUUCAUUUUCUGUUUCUGUAAAAAUAAUCCAUGCCCAGUUCCUCAUGUAAUGAAAUCACUUAUUCUGAAAGAGCAUGCUUUGGGAAAGGGCUCUGAGGUACCUUCUGGUUGGCAGUGCUGCAGGCUGCGGAAGAGCAAAUAGAGGCUGCACCUCCAUCGGCUUCUCCUGAGGGAAAGGAAAUAAAAGCACCAUUUGUCAAGCCAAGACACUUUCCUUACUGCUCUGGGAGCUGCACAGUUGUUGUGUCCCAGAACAAACAACAGCA